ACAAACCUACUUAAGGGUACAAAUAAACGCACGUGAACCUGAACUGUAAUCACAUUAUAUUAAUAAUUAAAUCAUUCUUUUUUAUUUUCAUUCUUGUCUAGAACGAACAGCAAGUUUUGAAUUGAUCGGGCUGGUCAUAGCGAUACUCUGCUUGGUGAUUUCUCUGAUUGGAAAUGUUUCUCUCAUUUGCUUCCAAACUCCGAGAGAAGAAAGUGAACAAUCUAAAGCUGCUGUCGUCCUGCAAUUAAACAGCGAGAGGGUGAAAAAUCAACAGAUUGAUGAGGAGACUAAAGUUUACUCUGCUGUGGUCUUCACCAUGAGGAAAGCUGACCGUGGUGCAGUGAAGGAUGCAAAAGUAGCGCAGAGGAAAAGGAUGUGUGCUGCUGUGAAGGAUUUUGGUUUGAAUUAGUGAGUGAAAAGGUCUGUUUGGCAACAUUUGAUUUAACUGAUUUUAGUUUGUUUAAAGCUUAAGAAAAUGCUGAUUACCUCCAAAUAUCUACACUUAGAUAACUUAAGGAGGUGCUAUGAAUAUUCUAUCACUCAGGUUGUGACUGUAUUGGUAUGUGUAUGCAAAUGAUAUUCUAUAAUUCAUAAUAAAAUGUAUUUGUCAAACCUCCUUGGAUUAAAGGACUGUAACAUUCAGGCUUA